rnacentral:pre_miRNA from 14 species
UGAAUAGCCAACCCUGCCAUCCCAGUGUUCCUCGUGUUCAGGAGACCAAGACAUGUACAGUAGUCAGCACAUUGGUUAGGCUGGGCUUGGGUCAGCA